GACGAACGCUGGCGGCGUGCUUAGCACAUGCAAGUCGAACGGAAAGGCCCUGCUUUUGUGGGGUGCUCGAGUGGCGAACGGGUGAGUAACACGUGAGUAACCUGCCCUUGACUUUGGGAUAACUUCAGGAAACUGGGGCUAAUACCGGAUAGGAGCUCCUGCUGCAUGGUGGGGGUUGGAAAGUUUCGGCGGUUGGGGAUGGACUCGCGGCUUAUCAGCUUGUUGGUGGGGUAGUGGCUUACCAAGGCUUUGACGGGUAGCCGGCCUGAGAGGGUGACCGGCCACAUUGGGACUGAGAUACGGCCCAGACUCCUACGGGAGGCAGCAGUGGGGAACAUUGCACAAUGGGCGGAAGCCUGAUGCAGCAACGCCGCGUGCGGGAUGACGGCCUUCGGGUUGUAAACCGCUUUCGCCUGUGACGAAGCGUGAGUGACGGUAAUGGGUAAAGAAGCACCGGCUAACUACGUG
rnacentral:rRNA from 1 species